GGUGCGGGCCGGGCGGGGAGCGGGUUUGUCGCGGGGCUCCCGGCGGGCCGGGGCGGCCAUGGCGCUGCCGCUCCUGCCCGGGGUCUCCCGCGACCGGAACAUAGGGGAAGAAAAGUUCCACAAGUCACAGCACUGGGGUUUCUGCAAUAAUGUUGCUAUGCUGGUUGAUGAAAAUAAACCUGGAGUUGGAGGUAAACCACUACCUGGUCAGAAGCUGACACCUAAAUACAGUGUGUUUCCUGAAGGGAUGGGAAGUGAUGCUCCUGCUUGGGUAGCAUUUGACAAGCAGGUAUUGUCUUUUGAUGCCUAUUUUGACGAAGAAGUGCCUGACAAAAAUCAAGAGCUAUAUAGAAUCAGACACUGCAAAAUAUACUUCUACCUUGAAGAUGAUACAAUUCAAGUGAUUGAACCUCAAGUGAAAAAUAGUGGCAUACCUCAAGGAACUAUUGUUCGACGGCAUCGGAUUCCACUUCCACCUCCUUAUGAAAAUCAGUUCUAUACUAUAGAUCACUUCAAUAUCAACAUAGAAGUAACCUUUUAUGCCCGAAAAUAUAAGAUCACUGAUUGUGACCGGUUUACAAAAAAUUUCCUGAGGAAAAUGGGAGUUAGAUUAAAUCCUCCUGCAAGUCGUCCAGAUGAUCCGUACACCCAAGAGAGGCAAAAGAUUCUGGAUAGUAUGACACCAUUUCGCCCUUAUGAGCGUAUUGACACUUUGAAACAAUUUCUAGAGCAUGAUGGACAUGUUUUACGUUUUUUCUGUGUGUGGAAUGACCCAGAAUCCAUGUUUCAUGACCCACGAGAACUUGUUCUGCACUAUUAUUUGUCUGAUGAUACUAUUGAUAUAAGAGAAAUUGUACCAGUAAACUCAGGCCGGGAUGCAAUUCCACUUUUCCUCAGAAGAGAUAAGCUUCCAAAGCAUGCUCCCGUCGGGCUGUAUCAGCCGGGUACAAUCACCGAUCGCACAGUUCUCAAUGUGCUUGGGAAUUCAGCAGGAAACAAAGGCCGUUACAUACUGGACAAUCGUAAGACAGGAGCAGUGCAUCAGGAAUUUUACAAAGACAGUGACCUGAAAAUAGGGGCAGUAAUUAAUGUGUGGGGAAGGAAGAUAAUUCUCUGUGAUUGUGAUGAAUUCACUAAAGAAUAUUACAGGACAAAGUACGGAAUCGAGGAUUUCACCCCAGUUCCAUAUAAGGUUCCACCACCUCCAAAACCAGAAAAAACAUUUCCUCCUUAUAAUGGAUUUGGUUCUGAAGAGGAUUCUCUGUGCUCCUGUAUGGGUCUAAUUCUCAAGCCUCCCGCAAAAGAUUUCAAGAAAUUCAUGGAGAAAGACAGAAUUGGCAUGGAAAGUAACAUACUGCGCUUUCUUGCAAAACUCAUCACAGAUAGUCCUAUUGACAAGGAUAGGAAAUUAAUCAUUUCCUACUUUCUGAGUGAUGACACCAUUUCAGUUUUUGAACAUGCACAGCGAAACUCAGGGAUACUUGGUGGGAAGUUCUUGGAAAGAGGUCGCAUUAAGAAGCCUGGGCAGGAGCUCUUUAAGAGUGAGCCAUCUGAAUACUUCAAGGCUCAGGAUCUGUUUGUUGGAGCCAGAGUUUGUUUCCAUGGUCACAACUUUCUUUUGGUGGAUGCCGAUGAGUACACACUGAACUACAUGGAGAAGCAUGCAAAUGAGUUCUCUGUGGCUGAUGUUGGUGUCAUCCUCAAGAAACUGAAAGGUAUAACCGAACCUCGUUCCCGAGAAAUCAGACAGUUGUUUGCAGCCACUGACCCAGACCAUAACAAGGUGAUUGAGUAUGAUGCUUUCAGAAAUUUGAUAGUCAGUAUCACUGAUGGAGCGUUUUCAGACCAUGAAAUGAUGACUCUUGGGCGCUAUUACGGUGUGAAAGAUGAAUAUGAAAUGGACGUCCACUACCUCCUUGCAGUGGCUCAAGAACAACUAAAGAAAAAUAGGUUUGAGAAUUUCGAGCAACUAACUGCAGUGCUUCUAUACAAUGACCGUGAAAAAAGUGGAGUGCUGCCCCAUGAGAUGUGCAGGACUAUUUGCAAGUCCUUUAAGUUGCCACUGGCUCAUGAUGAUCUGCAAGCUUUAUUGACCAUACAUAAAGAACAAUGCCAUAAACCAACUACUGAAUGACAAGGUUUGAAGAUGACAAUAAGCAAGUGGAAUAUAAAAAGUUUGUGGAUGGGCUGAACUGGAGAGAGAAUCCAAUCCCUGUUUUCCAGACAAUAAAGGACAGCUUAUCUAGUCAUUGAACAUGACCCGAUUUCUGGGAGGUGAGGGAAAGCGACAGCUCCUACAAGUUGAAGGUGGGGUACAGGUGGUGGUAGAACCAAGAGGCAGCCUUCAUGAGGUGAAGAUGUGGAGGAAAAUGUUCUUGUGAAACAAGCAGGAGGUUGAAGUGGACAUUUGUGGUGAAACGUAUGUCUUGGUCAGCAUAAGAGAUGAGGUUUUGUUUGGGUGUGAAGAAGACGUUAUCUUUGCUUGGAGGACAGCCAGUGGAUGGGCUGAUGUCUAAGAGCCCCUGUUGACAAUGGUGCUUGGAGUUAUGGGAGGAAGAUUACAGCCAAAAUAAAAAAGAAAGAAAGAGCAUCCAUAGAAAUUAUCACCAGUCAUCAUCAUGCUGGGAUAAUCAGUUCCUCAUCUGCUCCAAAGCCUUGCUGUAACUGUCACACUGACAUACAGCACUGUUUUUAAUUAAGUAUCCAAAUUGGUGCCAGUGUAGUUUACUGAGUUUUACUGGCUAUUAUUUUGUUUAUCUGCAAUACCUCUUCUGUCUUUGGCACGGUUCAAGAGUAUUAUAAUGAAGAGAUAAUAGGAAAUAGAAAAAUCAGAGAAAGGAAGGGAUUUAGAUCUUGUUUUACUUUGGAAUCCAAUUGUCGUUCUGUUCAUGACUUACCAUGAAUUAACAGCAACAUUUUGGGGCUGCAGUGGCUGUAUUUGACAGAUUUCAACGACAGGGUUGUGCUUGUUUAGCAGACUUUUGUCUUCUUUCCCUUUAUCUCAUUAUUUUGUAUGAGUUUUGGUGUUGAGACAUAGAUGACUUCCAAUACUUUGAAGUAUAAAUGCCUCAGUGAAGAAAAUACAGCAUUAUUUAAUUUGAAAAUACCUGCAGAAGGGCUAAUAAGAGAAAAUAUUUUAAAUAAAAUAUUCUCCAAGAUUGAUAAAAAUGUGCAUGUAGUAAUCUUUUAAGAGGAUGUGUUACAUAAAGAUUCACUUUUUCAAAGAUUUAUUAUAUGGAAAUGAAGCAGUUCAUUCAAUCUUAUGUUGACCAGCUUUUAAUUAUUCUUGUUUUCAAUAUUGUAUUCUAAGU